GCCGUAGUUUAGCAGGAGAGCAGCUGCUUUGCAUGCAGAAGGUCCCAGGUUCAUUCCCCGGCAUCUCCA